rnacentral:misc_RNA from 1 species
AACCUAGCACACCUGCGGUGUGUACCUGCGGAAGGAUCAUUAACCUUUCAAAUCAGGGUGCGGCGCGGCCCCCGAGGAGCGGAAACAAUCCUUGGGAGGUAUGCGGGGGCUUCGAGCCCCCCAUUUACGCACGCACGACUGCCAUCCUUACUUUACGAGCACCUUCUGUUCUCCCUCGGCGGGGCAACCUGCCGUUGGAACCGAAUAAACUCUUUUUGCACCUAGCAUUACCUGUUCCGA